ACAUUGCCCUUCCUGUAACAUGAUGAUCCUGCUGUCCUGGACUGUAUAUGAUGAGCCUACACAUAAUCUCAGAACAGCUGUGGUAAUAACAGGAGACCCAUUUGGUGAGAGCAGCACUGCAGACCUUCCUGAUGGAGGAGAUCAUGGACCAUUUUCACAAGACUAAUGAUGUGUUUCAGCUGUGUUUUCAUCGUAAACCCUCACAAUGUUUGUAUAUUUUGAAUUUAAAAAAAUGAUGUGCAUUAGUUACACUAUACUUUGUAUUAUAUCACAUUCGUAUCAAAUUACAGAAAAGAAAUAGUUAAUGCUAAUGCAAGGGUGUUUCUAAUCCUAAUCCAGAGUCUUUGGGAGGAAUGCUAAAUUUGACAUUGUUCUCUCUUCUGACUGCUGUUAUCAGUGUCUGUCAGAUUUUUUCCUUUGAUUGAAAGUUGUGAAAAUGCUAUUGUAGAGUUUUUCAUUUUGCUAUUUGAGUAAAUGAGAAUGCAAAAAUAUAUAUUUGUGAUACUCUCCCAUUCACUGCUCUCGAAGUUAACCCAACUAUAACAACUUCCGCUGCUGAGAAACUGGUUU